UACGGAGGGUGCGAGCGUUGUCCGGAAUCACUGGGCGUAAAGGGCGCGUAGGUGGCGCGGGAAGUCAACGGUGAAAGUUCGGGGCUCAACCCUGAAUCGGCCGUCGAUACUCCCGGGCUCGAGCACUGUAGAGGCAGAUGGAAUUCCGGGUGUAGCGGUGGAAUGCGUAGAGAUCCGGAAGAACACCGGUGGCGAAGGCGGCCUGCUGGGCAGUAGCUGACGCUGAGGCGCGACAGCGUGGGGAGCAAACAGG
rnacentral:rRNA from 1 species